rnacentral:rRNA from 1 species
AUUGAACGCUGGCGGCAGGCCUAACACAUGCAAGUCGAGCGGAUGAAGGGAGCUUGCUCCUGGAUUCAGCGGCGGACGGGUGAGUAAUGCCUAGGAAUCUGCCUGGUAGUGGGGGAUAACGUCCGGAAACGGGCGCUAAUACCGCAUACGUCCUGAGGGAGAAAGUGGGGGAUCUUCGGACCUCACGCUAUCAGAUGAGCCUAGGUCGGAUUAGCUAGUUGGUGGGGUAAAGGCCUACCAAGGCGACGAUCCGUAACUGGUCUGAGAGGAUGAUCAGUCACACUGGAACUGAGACACGGUCCAGACUCCUACAGGAGGCAGCAGUGGGGAAUAGUGGACAAUGGGCGGAAGCCUGAUCCAGCCAUGCCGCGUGUGUGAAGAAGGUCUUCGGAUUGUAAAGCACUUUAAGUUGGGAGGAAGGGCAGUAAGUUAAUACCUUGCUGUUUUGACGGUACCAACAGAAUAAGCACCGGCUAACUUCGUG